UCCGAGCUCCGCAGAGCGGGAUGCUGGGUAACGCCCAGUGGGGGCAACCCCAAGGCUAGUGCCACAGAAAUAAACCGCCCCGGGAAUAAAUCCCCGUGGGUAAGGCUGAAAAGGUGAGGUAAGGGCUCACCAGCGGUUAGGCGACUAAUCGGCUAGGUAAACCCCAUCCGGAGCAAGGUUAAAUAGGGAAGGAGAGGCUGCUCGCCUCACGUGACUUCCGGGUUAACCGCAUUAGGUUUUAGGCAACUAAAAUCCUAGAUAGAUGAUCGUCCUUGACAGAACUCGGCUUAUAGGUUCACUCAGAUG
rnacentral:RNase_P_RNA from 1 species